GUGGGGAAUUUUGGACAAUGGGCGAAAGCCUGAUCCAGCAAUGCCGCGUGUGUGAAGAAGGCCUUAGGGUUGUAAAGCUCUUUCGUGGGGGAAGAUAAUGACUGUACCCCAAGAAGAAGCACCGGCUAACUACGUGCCAGCAGCCGCGGUAAUACGUAGGGUGCGAGCGUUAAUCGGAAUUACUGGGCGUAAAGCGUGCGCAGGCGGUGCUGUAAGACAGGCGUGAAAUCCCCGGGCUCAACCUGGGAAUUGCGCUUGUGACUGCAGUGCUGGAGUACGGCAGAGGGGGAUGGAAUUCCGCGUGUAGCAGUGAAAUGCGUAGAUAUGCGGAGGAACACCGAUGGCGAAGGCAGUCCCCUGGGCCUGUACUGACGCUCAUGCACGAAAGCGUGGGGAGCAAACAGGAUUAGAUACCCGAGUAGUCC
rnacentral:rRNA from 1 species